rnacentral:hammerhead_ribozyme from 1 species
AUCCAGCUGACGAUUUCCAAAUAGGAAGAUACGCAAGUCCUGGAU